CAACGCACUUGGCCUUUUAGGUUAGGCAAGCUACUUAUCGGACACAAGCUGAAAGAAUUUCUGUGUAGGGUUAAUAACGUAAGUAGCUAUCGAAAAUGGUUGUAUAUGUACUUGGUACCCAUCUAGAAUGGAUUUGAAGUAGAUUUUCUUUUUUUUGGUCAAAGAUUUGAAGUAGAUUAAAAGGCAUAUUGUUCAACCCAGACUUAAACCAUCUCUUCCAAGGAAGGAGAAACAAUUAUUCUGGUACAGGCCCUAAGCAGAGGUGCUACCACCCAUUGCCAUUUUCAUUAGGUCAAACUGCAACAAGAGAUGGUGGAGCUUACAAGUCGGCAAUGUAUAUGCAUGAGCAACCCCAUGCUCAUCUGUAGCCUUUUCGCUGAAAAUCCAAAGUCGUCGAGUACUUAUUGCGGACGAGUAAUUGCCUUUAGUCAACACGUGAAGUGCUGCUCUAAAUCCAAAUUGGCUCCGAAAUACUUUUACAAUUUGGUGCAGGGCAAUUUCUUAGCAGAAAUAGAAAGCUCAAAGAACUUUAAUGCAAGAAAUCAUGGUUUGGACUUUGGAGUUCCAGAACCAAAGGAAAUAGGAAGAUACAUCUUCUUGAUGCAAGAAAUCAUGGUCACAUUUUUUAUGGCCUCCACUAUGGUGUUUCUGACUUCCCAUAUGCAGCUUGCUCGAUGAUGUUGGUGGGGAUAAUAUCUUCAGCAUUUUUGCUGUUUGCUCCUAGGAUGAUUGGUCUUCCUGGGGUUUGGUUGGGCUUGCCUCUCUUUCUGGGCUUGUGUACAGCAGCAGGCUAUUUCAGAUUAUCAGCAAAGACUGGUGCAUGGUGGUUCAUGCACAGAGAGAUGCAGAAAUUCGAAGUGACUGGCUAGUUGAGACGGGGAUAUUCUUCGGUUACGAGGUGCUUCGUGCUAUUGAUAUUCUGCUCCAGGAUCAGGCUUCAUGCUAUUGACAUUCCGAUCCAGCAUAUAUGUUACAAAGUAUAGCUUUCCUAUUUUGGCGCAAAGGCGUACUCCUGUGCCUGUGCCAACUUUUGAGUCUCCAUUAGGGACGAUAGAUGAAAUCGAGAAACUACUUC